AGCUAAAGAGGAAAGAGGCACGGACUUCUAAUCCGUAGGUCGCAGGUUCGAAUUCUGCCGAGG
rnacentral:tRNA from 1 species